rnacentral:lncRNA from 1 species
AGAGCCCUUUUGAUUUUUCUAUGGCAACAUUUGCUAUGCUGACGUCAUUGCCACGUCAUUACUGUCAGUCAGACAGAAAUAAAAGAAAAAUGGAUGCCGUUCAGACGUACACGCAUUAUUUGGAACUGAAAAUUACGUAAUUUAUCGACCUGCUAGCUUGUAUUUGUUAUAAAUCAUAAAAAAAUUAUGGAAAACAUCAUGAACAAUAAUGAAACAAACCGAACCUUUAGCUACAAUAAUAAAAUGACCCCAUGACGCCAGUGGAACUACGUGGUUUUCUUUCAUGAUGAUUUGAUGAUACCAUAAUGGAAUUAGCCAAGGUUUCGCCGUAUUGGGUGCUAGAUGCCCCUUGGAGUUAAGCCCCAGUGCCACUAUACUACCUUACCAGUUAUGUGUGGGUGUUGUAGUCCUAAGGCACCCCAGAGAUGCAUAGGGCCUUCACAAGCUCACGCCACGCCUUCCUAUCUUCAGCAACCCUCGUGACCUCGCUCUACCAGCUCAAACCUGGGAACUCGCAGCUCAUUUUCGACGGACCGCUUCCACGAGUAGACAAGGCACCGACGAUCACGGCUUGCAUCACCUGUACUGCUUCGUAAUAUAGUAUGCGGAACAACACUGCCAUUAUACUAGGAUCAACGUCCUGCCCCUUCCCCGGCUGUGUACAAAUUGAAACUCCAUUUGCAUGCCCCUUUGACUGAGCAACGUGUGUGUGCUUGAAACACAUUCACUGGCAACAUAAUGACUCCCAGGCUGACCUGGCUCAGCUCCUGUAUGUCUGAUCUACAUAGACAAUGGUUUCAAUGAAAGAGUUAAAAUUCUUCUCCAUGUACAAUCACUUCUAACGUCUACACUGACUACACCAAAUAUGAUCAUCACUCAACGUGUCUCACAUCAAGAUACUUUUCAAAAGUCAUCAAGAAGUGGAACAAUAUUUUUUUUUUUCAUUAUUGCCUGAAUAAUCCUAACUAAAGUUAUUUCUCUAUUCUAUUUUUCCUGCAUGGAGUGGCACUUUUCCGACUAAUGGAAACGAAAUGAACAUAUAUGCUCUGUUUUUUUUUUUUUUCCCUUUCCAAUAUUACUAAUAAAGCAUUU